CCUAUCCCAAACACAGAGAGAUAGAAUCAAGCCUCAGGAGAUUACCACACUGUAUUUAUAAAGCCUAUACAUUUCUUAGCAAAUUUGAUCUCUCUGUACAUCCUAAUCCUUUCUCGCACAACUUUCUGUAUUUAUUGUGUAAUGAACUCUAUGUUGACACGAUGAUUUCUAAAAUUCUUCUCAUUCCUAGUUAGCCAUAGACCAUGUACCAUUGCUCUGAAGACAGCUGCAACAGUUUCCUUCUUAAACUUGUUCCACUGCUUCUUCCUUAUCAACUGGAUGGUUUGCUACACACUGUGAUUAAGCACUUUGAUUGCCAACCAACUUGU
rnacentral:lncRNA from 1 species